rnacentral:rRNA from 1 species
CACCAGACUCCUACGGGAGGCAGCAGUGAGGAAUAUUGGUCAAUGGGCGAGAGCCUGAACCAGCCAAGUCGCGUGAAGGAUGACGGCCCUACGGGUUGUAAACUUCUUUUGUCAGGGAGCAAUUGGGUCCACGCGUGGGCUUAGCGAGAGUACCUGAAGAAAAAGCAUCGGCUAACUCCGUGCCAGCAGCCGCGGUAAUACGGAGGAUGCGAGCGUUAUCCGGAUUUAUUGGGUUUAAAGGGUGCGUAGGGGGACUGUGAAGUCGGCGGUAAAAGCCCGGGGCUCACCCCCGGCGAGCCGUUGAAACUGGGGAUCUAGAGUGUGCGAGAGGUAUGCGGAAUGCGUGGUGUAGCGGUGAAAUGCAUAGAUAUCACGCAGAACCCCGAUUGCGAAGGCAGCAUACCGGUGCACAACUGACGCUCAGGCACGAAAGCGUGGGUAUCGAACAGGAUUAGAUACCCCCGUAGGA